rnacentral:rRNA from 1 species
GACGAACGCUGGCGGCGUGCCUAAUACAUGCAAGUCGAACGAAGCUUUUUUAACUGGUGCUUGCACCGACUUAAACAACUGUGUGGCGAACGGGUGAGUAACACGUGGGUAACCUGCCCCAAAGCGGGGGAUAACAUUUGGAAACAAAUGCUAAUACCGCAUAACCACAGAAACCACAUGGUUUCUGUGUCAAAGAUGGUUUCGGCUAUCACUUUGGGAUGACCCGCGGAGUAUUAGCUAGUUGGUAAGGUAAUGGCUUACCAAGGCAAUGAUACGUAGCCGAACUGAGAGGUUGAUCGGCCACAUUGGGACUGAGACACGGCCCGAACUCCUACGGGAGGCAGCAGUAGGGAAUCUUCCACAAUGGACGAAAGUCUGAUGGAGCAACGCCGCGUGAGUGAAGAAGGUUUUCGGAUCGUAAAACUCUGUUGUCAGAGAAGAACGUGUGCGAGAGUAACUGUUCGUGCAGUGACGGUAUCUGGCCAGAAAGCCACGGCUAACUACGUGCCAGCCGCCGCCGUAA